AUGGGCCCCGGGCUGCUCUGCUGGGUGCUGCUUUGUCUCCUGGGAGCAGGCCCAGUGGAGGCUGGCGUCACCCAAAGUCCCACACACCUGAUCAAAACGAGAGGACAGCAAGUGACUCUGAGAUGCUCUCCUAUCUCUGGGCACACCAGUGUGUCCUGGUACCAACAGGUCCUGGGUCAGGGGCCCCAGUUUAUCUUCGAAUAUGUUAAUGAGUUAAGGAGAUCAGAAGGAAACUUCCCUAAUCGAUUCUCAGGUCGCCAGUUCCGUGACUAUCACUCUGAGAUGAAUUCUCAGACCAGACAGCUGUGAGAACCUGGGGCCUUCAGGGGGAAAGAAAAACAAUUUCAGGACUCUGAACAAGGCUGGCGGAAACAAGGCCGGGA